AGAGGGGGCAAGCGUUGCUCGGAAUUACUGGGCGUAAAGGGCGCGUAGGCGGGAUGGCAAGUCGGUCGUGAAAUCCCUCGGCUCAACCGAGGAACGUCGAUCGAUACUGCUGUUCUUGAGGAUUGCAGAGGAGACUGGAAUUCCCGGUGUAGCGGUGAAAUGUGUAGAGAUCGGGAGGAACACCGGUGGCGAAGGCGGGUCUCUGGGCAAUUCCUGACGCUGAGGCGCGAAAGCGUGGGGAGCAAACGGGAUUAGAUACCCCGGUAGUCCACGCUGUAAACGAUGAGCACUAGGUGUGGGGGGGUUCAGUCCCUUCCGUGCCGCAGCUAACGCAUUAAGUGCUCCGCCUGGGGAGUACGGCCGCAAGGUU
rnacentral:rRNA from 1 species